UACGUAGGGCGCAAGCGUUGUCCGGAAUUAUUUGGGCGUAAAGAGCUCGUAGGUGGCUUGUUGCGUCUGCCGUGAAAGCCCGUGGCUUAACUGCGGGUCUGCGGUGGAUACGGGCAGGCUAGAGGCUGGUAGGGGCAAGCGGAAUUCCUGGUGUAGCGGUGAAAUGCGUAGAUAUCGGGAGGAACACCAGUGGCGAAGGCGGCGAUCUGGGCUGAUACUGACGCUGAGGUGCGAAAGCGUGGGGAGCAAACAGG
rnacentral:rRNA from 1 species